GGAGCGCUAUCGGAUCACUGGGCGUAAGCGUCUGUAGGUGGUCCAAUAAGUCAACUGUUAAAUCUUGAGGCUCAACCUCAAAAUCGCGGUCGAAACUAUUAGACUAGAGUAUAGUAGGGGUAAAGGGCAUUUCAAGUGCAAAAAUG
rnacentral:rRNA from 1 species